rnacentral:rRNA from 1 species
AUUGAACGCUGGCGGCAGGCCCAACACAUGCAAGUCGAGCGGAUGAAGGGAGCUUGCUCCUGGAUUCAGCGGCGGACGGGUGAGUAAUGCCUAGGAAUCUGCCUGGUAGUGGGGGAUAACGUCCGGAAACGGGCGCUAAUACCGCAUACGUCCUGAGGGAGAAAGUGGGGGAUCUUCGGACCUCACGCUAUCAGAUGAGCCUAGGUCGGAUUAGCUAGUUGGUGGGGUAAAGGCCUACCAAGGCGACGAUCCGUAACUGGUCUGAGAGGAUGAUCAGUCACACUGGAACUGAGACACGGUCCAGACUCCUACGGGAGGCAGCAGUGGGGAAUAUUGGACAAUGGGCGAAAGCCUGAUCCAGCCAUGCCGCGUGUGUGAAGAAGGUCUUCGGAUUGUAAAGCACUUUAAGUUGGGAGGAAGGGCAGUAAGUUAAUACCGUGCUGUUUUGACGUUACCAACAGAAUAAGCACCGGCUAACUUCG